rnacentral:rRNA from 1 species
GGAUGCGAUCAUACCAGCACUAAAGCACCGGAUCCCAUCAGAACUUCGAAGUUAAGCGUGCUUGGGCGAGAGUAGUACUAGGAUGGGUGACCUCCUGGGAAGUCCUCGUGUUGCAUUCCUUU